GACAGAGGGGGCAAGCGUUGCUCGGAAUCACUGGGCGUAAAGGGCGCGUAGGCGGGAUGGCAAGUCGGUCGUGAAAUCCUUCGGCUCAACCGAAGAACGUCGGCCGAUACUGCCGUUCUUUGAGGGAUGCAGAGGAGAUUGGAAUUCCCGGUGUAGCGGUGAAAUGUGUAGAGAUCGGGAGGAACACCGGUGGCGAAGGCGGG
rnacentral:rRNA from 1 species